rnacentral:RNase_P_RNA from 1 species
CGGAGAGGCUCGGGUGAUCGCUGGUGGAUCACGCGCGAGCGUGAGGCCACGAGAGGAAAGUCCGAGCUCCACAGGGCAGGAUGCCAGCCAACCGCUGGUGGGGGCGACCCCGAGGACAGUGCAACAGAGAACAGACCGCCGUGACCGCUCGAGAGGGCGCUCGCGGUAAGGGUGAAACGGCGAGGUAAGAGCUCACCGGGCCGGUGGUGACAUCGGUCGCUUGGCAAACCCCAUCCGGAGCAAGACCGAAUAGGGAGGCGUUCGAGGGCUGCCCGCCCGAAGCCUCCGGGUGUGUCGCUGGAGGCCUGCGGCAACGCAGGUCCUAGAGGAAUGAUCAUCACCGGCUGGCGGCGACGCCUGACGGAACAGAACUCGGCUUACGAGCCCUCCGACCA